CUAACGCUGGGCGUUCUCUGAUUUUCAGAUCUUCUCUGUCCCUCUCGUGGCUGCGAAAUAGCAGGUCGUCAUUUCCGGUGGCAUCUCCUCGAUCGCUAGUGAAGUGGACCAUCCUGCCAUGUUUCUGGCCAUUUGUGAUUCCUUCUCGGUGAAAUUCCUGUUCCUUCUUGUGCCUGUUUUUCCCAGAUUGGCUUCCUGGAUUUUGCCCGUCCUCGAAUAAAUCAAGUUUCCGUAAAUGGACGAGUCUGUCAGCUCUCUACUGUUUUCCACUGCUCGGUCUGUGAACCUUCCCCUGUUCAGAGACCACAUCUCCUCGAUUACUAGAGCUUUCUGAGGAGCCUUCCUGAUGCACGCUUCGUCUGCCCGACGCCCGAGCCGGGCACGGCACGCGUGGACCCCUUCCGACGCCGACGUGUGAAGAAAAGGGAGCACUAGCUUCAGAGACCACAGAGUGAACCGUCGCAAAACUACCGAAUCUCUGUAACCGCCGGCGUUUACGCGCUCCCACCGACGGAAAACAAAAGUCACCAGAACAGAAAAAUAUUUUCCAAGGGAGACAUGGCUUUCCUCUUCGGUGACCUGAGAAAAUUGACCACGGUUCCAUUCAACAUCUUCAGGCGCUUGACUUUUUUUUUUUUUUUAAUAUCCUUUACCUUUUUAAUAAAAAGUAAAAAACAAAAAAAAUACAUCAAUGUCCUGAAUAGAACCUCUCUAUGUAAAGGUGUCACUAAACAAAUAACGUAGGACCAGACAGGAUAAAUGGGGCUGCAAAUAGCAAUACAACAUAUUGUGAAGCGCUUAUGCGUGUCUAUGUAUAUUGUGUGUGAAUGUGCAGGUGCCUGUGUGCACCUA